rnacentral:lncRNA from 1 species
UUGUCGUGAUGUGGGUCGUGUCGUCUUCGUCCAUCUCCAUGGAGGUAUAUAUACACAGGUUAGGUAUAGGAAAGGAUACCGUCUCCAUGGAACUUUGACUGAUGUGUAAUGUCCUCAUAGGACUGGACCAUUUACAGAGGGAGUACUUGAAAAUAGAUUCUUUAUAUAUUGUUUGGUUCCAUCAGUCGCAUAACUUAAAUUAGCAAUUAGGUAUCUAAACAGUGUAGUGUAACCAUUGUGCUUGCUGCAGUUUUACUUUAGUGUUGAAAUGUUUUUGUUAGCUUGUUCUGUACUGCGAAAUAUUUUUGUUUUCCCAGCCAUUGUUUUCUAAAUCCUAUCAGCACAUUACCUGAUAUGGCCUUUGAAGUUUAUGUUUUAUAACGAGCUUUGCACCUAUCAACUUGAGUAUGGUAUCGUUUAUUAUUUUCUAUUGCGGAUAUUCCAGAGAAAUUUAGAGCUCCACAACCUUCUGAAGACUUAGCAGAGAUGAAGCAAUCAAUCAGUUGAGAUGCACCACAUGAUCUUUUUCUCUUGACAUUGAUGGGUAUUGAACCCAUAGAUCAGCUUAUCAAUGGAACUCUUAUCGAGUUGAGAAGGUGUCACAAAAACUAAAGAGCAGUUUUAACAUGGUCCCUGAUUAACUCUUACCUCCUUACCUAUUAUGUGAAGGGGGUAAGAGGGACCUUGUUAAAAUUAGCGAAAACUCAAAAACAGGGCGAUUAGCUAAGGAAAGAAGCUAAGAAGCAUCAGGAAGGACUUUUAGGAUGGUACCGCGGUCAAUGAGGGACGGAUUGGUUUUUGCUAACUCAUUGGGGAUUAGCUGUUUGGAGGCGGAAUCUGAUUCUCUAUAAGUCAUCAAUUUUUGCUCGGGCCAAACAAGAUGGUGGGACAAAGCGGCAACGCUUUUCGCAGAAUGUGUGGAUUUAAGCACAUCGACCGGGAAGGUCAUCUACAAGCAUUGUUUACAUUCUUGUAACCGUGCAGCAUGUGCUAGCAAACUUCAGUUAUUGUAAUAGGCUUCUUAUAUUUGGUUACAUGAGCCUCCUGACAUGUUGGUUAGGGAGCUUGUGGACGAUGUAAACAUUAUCCAUAAUUAAUAAAGCUAGCCAUGAUGGUCUUUCCUCAAAAAAAGGAAGGACUUUUAGGAUGGUACUGCGGUCAAAUGCAUCCUAGGAUAGGUACUUUAAGAAUUAUGGUGUGUCCUUCUGUUUAGAGUAGAUACUUCCAUCAGAACUGAUAUCCACAGGGUCAGUUCGAGAUCCCCUCAUGCUCAACCGUCGCACUGACCUACGACACCAUCAAUUCUCAAUCAAAACAAUGGCAGCUUAUAAAUAACCAUUGGAAUAACUGCAGAAAUUUACUUACAUAUGAGUGCAUCCCUAAAUAGAAAGGAUCGCAUCACAAGAUCUAUAAUGCCUAGAAAACGAGACAAAAGGGGUGGGAAUCGCCACAAAAAAGAGGGGAGAUGCAAGAUCGAGAUAAAUGGAAAGUAAAUCCAUGCAUGCAGACAAAUCCAAAAUCAAAAGAGUUAAGAAAUCGCACAGGUCUGCGGCUGAGGAAACACCUCUGUCACCCAGCUGAGGAACUGAGAAAGAAAGGAAGGGGAUAGACAGUCUCCGCUGAAUCCGCCCCCUGCCACUUCAUAUUCAGCUCCUCACGGUCCACGGGCAUCACUCUACGUGGGUUGGGCUAAAUAAUAUAUGGGCUAUCCUAAUACCUCCUGAUCCCUAUAUCUCCAUAUAUGCACAACAAAGACAUGUUUUUUUCUUAGGUUUCUUAUCUUUUUCCCUCUUUUUUUGCAGGAAAAAGAUGCACGGCCAGGUUUCUCAUCAUGAUAACCAUGUUUUCAAACUUGCUAAAAAAGUACAACCAUGCCAACCUUACUCUCUCAUCAUAGUAGCCAUAUUUUCAAACUGAACAUAUUCAUAUUAUGCAAAGUUUCCAUUUUCCCAGACUAUUAUUUAACAACGUAAUAAACAUGUUUAAAAAUAGCAUGAUUCAGUUGAAGGUUCUUGCAGCAUGAAACUAUUUUCAUCGACAGCAUGUCUUCAGCAGGUCUCUGCGCCAUUUGGCGCAACGGGUCAACUAGUAUACAAAAGCUAACUGAACGGAAAUAAUUUUUUGGUGCCUGCUAUAUAACAAAAGCGGUAAAGUAAUGAUAGCCAAAAACCAACAUGAGCGUUUUCAUUAUAGCAAGAGUUACAACCAUAGACAAUGCCAGAUAAAAAAUUCUCAAAAAAACUCUAUGCAGGAGGGAUAAAGCUGGUGUCCGGCUUGACUCUUAGGGCAGGAGUACAUUGAGAAGUGUGCCUAACAAAAAGAUCAGAGGGAUUCGCCAAAAAAUCAUACUAGCAAGGUUUUUUAUUUGCUGGGGAGAGGCAAUGGUUGACAUUCUACUCCGCAUUUCACGUGCAAAUUUGCCAACACUUAAUACUGCCCACCAGAAAAAUCUGAUGCAUUUACGCGGAGACAAUUUUUCAAGAUACCCCUGUCUGGAUUUAUCAGUCCCUCUUAUAUUUUGGGUCAUAUUUUGACGAUAAACCUAACUAAUAACAUAUAAGUUAUAUGUAGCAACAAUAAUAUCAUUACAAAAUACAUACAAAUAUUAUUUCAACGAUACAAUAUUUGGUAACAUGCAUUAACAUUUUAUUAUUUGAAUAUGUGGUCAUAGUUUGACCCACCCCCACUAGGGUUCUGCCCACCCAUAGAGCCAUCCCCAUUCUUAUCAUGCUUGUCCGAGAGGUUGGAUGAGGGGGGAGGCGGGUGGGGGGGGGGUGGAAGGCUUCAUCCCCUUCCACCCGAACACACAGUCUGACACCAUUGGGCGAGGGAAACACAUCAAUCGAUCCAUGGACACAAAGCGGGUCAACACACCAGAUCUUGACACGAGCAGGACCAACCUAAUCCAGCGACUUUGUGUCCACUUCCACUGGUUUACCAAUCAGAGCGUCGAAGGCCAUCAAAAAGGAAAAAGAACGGAGCCCCACUCGCACAUCAUCCACCAAAACCCAAACCUGAGAGAGAGGGCCAACCGCUUUUCCACCACAGGAGGCAGGCUUCACCGACACCACCAGCUGAUUGAGGGGGAGGGUGAAGCUGGUGCAUGAUGCAAUCAUACGGAGGCAGUCCUUGGAGGGGUAAACGACAGAAAAAUCAAAGUCGGACAAUUGAUUCACUUGCCAGUCCCAUCCUUCCACAUCCCAGAUAUGGAGCCCUUCAAACAGAGUUUGGGAGGAGAUCUGUUGCUCUUGCACCAUGACAAUGGUGGCAUUGGAGAGGGAGGGGGCCGCCACCAGAACAGGUAGAUCACAAUCCAAGGCGAAAAAGGAGCAUCCAGGGAGGCCCGAGCCAAAUUGGAGGAAGGAAGGAGGCUUCUAACGAUUCUGACAGUUGACAGUGAGGUGCCCAUCUGAAUGGCAAAUCAGGCAGAAUGGGGGUUGGUGCAUCUGGAUUGGAAAUGCCCGGGCUGAUGACAGGCAAAACAGGUAAGAGUCGAGGGAUUGCUUGGGAUGGCAGGGUUAGGGAGAUGCAUCGGAAGGGGGGGAGGAGGAGGAAGGAUGCCUUCCCCACCCUUGACGAAGAUGCGCCAGGGUGAGGGCCAACCGGAUGCCGGACCGGGCCGGCGAAGGACCACGGAGGGGGCCGAGGCCCAGUGCCAGUGCCAACAGGACGAGGGACCUGCCGCACCAGACCAGGAGCGCCACACCCCGCACCCUGGGCAGGCAUGGAGCCCGACGAGGACAAACGCCCCCCACCAGCCGCCACCGCCGCCUCCCAGGGAUCCAGCACCAAAGGGAGAGAAGGCCUAGAUCCAGAGCCUUGGGGACCAGAUCCGGGAGGAGCGCGCUCCUGCUCCGCACGCUGAAGCCACUCCGUUCCAGCAGCCCACGCAACACGUUCGUGAGCCACUUGCUCAUGAGCCGCCUGCUCCGCCUCCAACUUGGAACGCAAGGAGGCCUCGAGCUCCAGAUCCACAACCGAGCCCGGCGAGUCCUCAUGCUAGUGCUUGCUACCCAAGACAGCAUCACAGGACGAGCCCCUGGACUUGUCCAUGGAUAGAGCCGCCGUGAAGCAGAGGAGGAGGGGUGGGGGAGGAAUGGAUCUGACUAGACGGCGAAUGGGGGCACGGUGACUACACAAGUUAGCAGCGGAAGCCGAAAACCCUAGCAAGGGGGAGAGGAGCCGCGGGGGACCCAUAUAUAGCCAGACCAAGCCAAACCCACUUGGGCCUGGCGGUCCACAUGGGCCGAGGGAGUGGGGGGGGAGGAAACAGGCAAGCGGGAGCCGCACUGGGCCCACAAGAGGAAGGGGGAAUCGUCAACUGACGACAAAAUAGGAGGAGAGGGAUUGAUAGCCAGAGUAGGACCAGGAGGCCCAACAGGCCCAGCAGCCAGCCCACCACGUGACCCACUAGUCAACGGGUGGGAGACCAGAUCUAGGGCAGGCGCCGCCGUCUCCACGACGCACCCAGAUGCCGCCGCCGCCGGAGAUGACGGAUCAGAGGCAAAGGGAGGGGAGGGAGGGCAAACCACGCCCGGAGCGACACCCAGGAUCCCAAAUCUGGGCGAGGGAAGGGAAAACUUACCAGACUUGCGACGAUGGCG